AGGACGAACGCUGGCGGCGUGCUUAACACAUGCAAGUCGAACGGGGUAGCAAUACCCAGUGGCAGACGGGUGAGUAACACGUGGUCAACCUACCUCUGUGUGGGGGAUAACUAGCCGAAAGGUUAGCUAAUACCGCAUACGAUCGUUUUGAGGCAUCUCGAGACGAUGAAAGGAGCAAUCCGCACGGAGAGGGGACUGCGUCCCAUUAGUUAGUUGGUGGGGUAACGGCCUACCAAGACUCCGAUGGGUAGCUGGCUUGGGAGAGCGACCAGCCACACUGGGACUGAGACACGGCCCAGACUCCUACGGGAGGCAGCAGUGGGGAAUCUUGCGCAAUGGGCGAAAGCCUGACGCAGCAACGCCGCGUGAGGGACGAAGGCCUUCGGGUUGUAAACCUCUUUCAGCAGGGACGAUUGUGACGGUACCUGCAGAAGAAGCCCCGGCCAACUACGUGCCAGCAGCCGC
rnacentral:rRNA from 1 species